GACGUAGGGCGCGAGCGUUGUCCGGAUUUAUUGGGCGUAAAGAGCUCGUAGGCGGCUUGUCGCGUCGUCCGUGAAAACCCGGGGCUCAACCCCGGGCUUGCGGUCGAUACGGGCAGGCUGGAGUUCGGUAGGGGGAGACUGGAAUUCCUGGUGAGCGGUGAAAUGCGCAGAUAUCAGGAGGAACACCGGUGGCGAAGGCGGGUCUCGCUGGGCCGAU
rnacentral:rRNA from 1 species